rnacentral:rRNA from 1 species
AUUGAACGCUGGCGGCAGGCCUAACACAUGCAAGUCGAGCGGUAGCACAGAGAGCUUGCUCUCGGGUGACGUGCGGCGGACGGGUGAGUAAUGUCUGGGAAACUGCCUGAUGGAGGGGGAUAACUACUGGAAACGGUAGCUAAUACCGCAUAAUGUCGCAAGACCAAAGUGGGGGACCUUCGGGCCUCAUGCCCUCAGAUGUUCCCAGAUGGGAUUAGCUAGUAGGUGGGGUAACGGCUCACCUAGGCGACGAUCCCUAGCUGGUCUGAGAGGAUGACCAGCCACACUGGAACUGAGACACGGUCCAGACUCCUACGGGAGGCAGCAGUGGGGAAUAUUGCACAAUGGGCGCAAGCCUGAUGCAGCCAUGCCGCGUGUGUGAAGAAGGCCUUCGGAUUGUAAAGCACUUUAAGUCGGGAGGAAGGGCUGCAGGUUAAUACCUUGCAGCCUUGACGUUACCGACAGAAUAAGCACCGGCUAACUUCGUGCCAGCAGCCGCAGUAA